ACAGUCAGUGAGUGUGUGUGUGUCCAACUCUUCCUCACAGGUUAGUUAAUGACAGACAGUCAGUGAGUGUGUCUGUGUCCAACUCUUCCUCACAGGUUAGUUAAUGACAGACAGUCAGUGAGUGUGUCUGUGUCCAACUCUUCCUCACAGGUUAGUUAAUGACAGACAGUCAGUGAGUGUGUCUGUGUCCAACUCUUCCUCACAGGUUAGUUAAUGACAGACAGUCAGUGAGUGUGUCUGUGUCCAACUCUUCCUCACAGGUUAGUUAAUGAUGUUACUGAGUCAAUGUGAGCAGAUUGUGUCUGUAGACUGAAGAGAAUCAGAGUCUCACUGAUGGUGGAAAUAAAGGUUUUACUUCCUUAAAACA